AUUGAACGCUGGCGGCAUGCCUUGCACAUGCAAGUCGAACGGUAACGGGCCUUCGGGUGCCGACGAGUGGCGAACGGGUGAGUAAUACAUCGGAACGUGCCCGAUCGUGGGGGAUAACGAGGCGAAAGCUUUGCUAAUACCGCAUACGAUCUACGGAUGAAAGCAGGGGACCGCAAGGCCUUGCGCGGACGGAGCGGCCGAUGGCAGAUUAGGUAGUUGGUGGGAUAAAAGCUUACCAAGCCGACGAUCUGCAGCUGGUCUGAGAGGAUGAUCAGCCACACUGGGACUGAGACACGGCCCAGACUCCUACGGGAGGCAGCAGUGGGGAAUUUUGGACAAUGGGCGCAAGCCUGAUCCAGCCAUGCCGCGUGCAGGAUGAAGGCCUUCGGGUUGUAAACUGCUUUUGUACGGAACGAAAAGCCUUCUUUUAAUACAGGAGGGUCAUGACGGUACCGUAAGAAUAAGCACCGGCUAACUACGUG
rnacentral:rRNA from 1 species